UACGGAGGGUGCAAGCGUUAUCCGGAUUCACUGGGCGUAAAGGGCGCGUAGGUGGCGCGACAAGUCAGUGGUGAAAGUUCGACGCUCAACGUCGAAUCGGCCACUGAUACUGUUGGGCUUGAGCACUGUAGAGGCUAAUGGAAUUCCGGGUGUAGCGGUGGAAUGCGUAGAGAUCCGGAAGAACACCGGUGGCGAAGGCGGUUAGCUGGGCAGUUGCUGACACUGAGGCGCGACAGCGUGGGGAGCAAACAGG
rnacentral:rRNA from 1 species